rnacentral:snRNA from 1 species
ACUAUCGUUCGCGAGGGUACAUCUGUCAAUUUAAACAAUACAGAGAAAAUUAGCAUUGUUCUUGCAUAAAGAUGACACGCUCUACCAAGAAUUUACCGUUGAUAUG